GAUGAACGCUGGCGGCGUGCCUAAUACAUGCAAGUCGAGCGAAUGGAUUAAGAGCUUGCUCUUAUGAAGUUAGCGGCGGACGGGUGAGUAACACGUGGGUAACCUGCCCAUAAGACUGGGAUAACUCCGGGAAACCGGGGCUAAUACCGGAUAACAUUUUGAACCGCAUGGUUCGAAAUUGAAAGGCGGCUUCGGCUGUCACUUAUGGAUGGAACCGCGUCGCAUUAGCUAGUUGGUGAGGGAACGGCGCACCACAGCAACGAUGCGUAGCCCACCUGAGAGGGUGAUCGGCCACACUGGGACUGAGACACGGCCCAGACUCCUACGGGAGGCAGCAGUAGGGAAUCUUCCGCAAUGGACGAAAGUCUGACGGAGCAACGCCGCGUGAGUGAUGAAGGCUUUCGGGUCGUAAAACUCUGUUGUUAGGGAAGAACAAGUGCUAGUUGAAUAAGCUGGCACCUUGACGGUACCUAACCAGAAAGCCACGGCUAACUACGUGCCAGCCGCCGCAGUAA
rnacentral:rRNA from 1 species